CCGGGCGGCCGCGGUCGUCCCAUGAAAAUCCGCGGAUGAACGAGUAGGCGACGGUCCGGGUCGUACCAAUGACCGCAUCGGGUCUCCAAGGUUAGCAGCCUCUGGUCAAUAGGAUAAUGCAGAUAAGGGAAUUCGGCAAAUUAGAUCCGUAACUUCGGGAAAAGGAUUGGCUCUGAGGAUUGGAUUCAAGGGCCCAUUCAUGAAAGCUUAGCUGUCUUGGAACUGCGGAGGCAACGAAGUGGCUCCAGGAUAGCGAACGCUGGAAUGGGUGGGACGUCUUCAUCGGCUUUCCUUGAAUAAUUAACAAUUAACUCAGAACUGAAGCGGACAAGGGGAAUCCGACUGUUUAAUAAAAACAUAGCAUUGUGAUGGCCUGAAAAGGUGUUGACACAAUGUGAAUUCUGCCCAGUGCUUUGAAUGUCAAAGUGAAGAAAUUCAACCAAGCGCAGGUAAACGGCGGGAGUAACUAUGACUCUCUUAAGGUAGCCAAAUGCCUCGUCAUCUAAUUAGUGACGCGCAUGAA
rnacentral:rRNA from 1 species